rnacentral:tRNA from 1 species
GCACACUUAGCUCAGUGGUUAGAGCAUCACUAUUGAAUUUUAAGGUUGCAGGUUUGAUUCCUGCAUUGCACA